rnacentral:misc_RNA from 1 species
AAAAGCCACAGGGAUAUUCAUAAUCUUUCCCAUUGCACGAACCUCAUCCUUGAACAGAAGUUUCAGUGGCUCGAUGAGCUUCAGCUUCAUGUCCUUUGGGAGCCCUCCAACAUUAUGAUGGCUCUUGAUCGUAUGUGAAUGUGUUCUUCCACUUCCAGGUGGGGGACACGACUCUAUUACAUCAGGAUACAAUGUUCCUUGGACUAGGUAAGCAGGUUUCUUUCCCACUUUUUUCUCUAAAUCAUGGGCGAAAAUAUCAAAUAUGUUGAUGAACUCCUUCCCAAUAAUUUUCCUUUUCAUUUCAGGCUCUGUCACACCUUUUAGUUUGCUGAGAAAUUCUUCUGUAGCAUCAACGCAGGUAACGGGCAAAUGAAGGUCACUCUCAAAGGUUGCCAUCACUCUUUCUCUCUCCUUGUACCUUAAAAGACCAUUAUCAACAAAAACACAGUGAAGCCUGUCUCCAAUAGCCUUGUGUACCACGGUAGCUGCAACUGUGGAA